rnacentral:rRNA from 1 species
AGAGUUUGAUCAUGGCUCAGAGCGAACGUUAGCGGCGGGCCUAACACAUGCAAGUCGAGCGAGAAAGGGGCUUCGGCCCUGAGUAAAGCGGCGGACGGGUGAGUAAUACGUAGGUAAUCUUCCCUUGAGCGGGGGACAACGUUCCGAAAGGGACGCUAAUACCGCAUAAGUUCUUUGGGACUCUGGUCCUGAAGAGGAAAGCUAGGUAGCAAUAUCUGGCACUCGAGGAGGAGCCUACGUCGCAUCAGCUAGUUGGUGGGGUAAUGGCCUACCAAGGCGAAGACGCGUAGCUGGUCUGAGAGGAUGAUCAGCCACACUGGGACUGAGACACGGCCCAGACUCCUACGGGAGGCAGCAGUGGGGAAUAUUGGACAAUGGGCGCAAGCCUGAUCCAGCCACGCCGCGUGAGUGAUGAAGGCCUUCGGGUCGUAAAGCUCUGUGGGGAGGGACGAACCGCUGCACGUGAAUAUCGUGCAGCAUGACGGUACCUCCUUAGCAAGCACCGGCUAACUUUCGUGCCAGCAGCCGCGGUA